AGAGCUUUACAGUCCAAGAAUGUAUCUGUGAAGCACCCUUGAAAUGCAGCUGUUAUUUGGCAAAAAUGAAAAGAGAAAGAGAGGCUGGUGAUAAGAUGGCUUCCACAAAGGGAGAGACCCUCUAGCAUAAUUGUCUUUUGAGACAAAUAGUCAGACUGUUCGGAGACAUUGCCUGCGAUGAGUGAUUUUCAGAAACAGUGACUUGGUGGAGUCAUGGAACAAUCAAUGAAGGUUAACUG